GUGAUUGUGAUAAUGAUUGUAAAAUACGCUCAGAGCAACGGUCUUUAACAGCUUGUCUUUGUGGUUUAGGAGCCACUCAAAAUGUAUAUCUAACAGAGUAUAACAUUAUUAAUAGUAAUAAAUCAGGACCUGCACUUUUUCAGUUUUUGGAAAGGCACGGACAAUUUCAAAAUCCCUGCCAAAUAUAUUAGAGGUCAUUCACAAGUAUGCUGAACCCGGGACCAGUCUAAAGACCUACAGUAUUCACAAAGUGCAUGGCUUUUGGGAAAAUGUCUCAAGAGAUUUGGGAGUGCCUAAUACAUGUCUUAAUAGGAAAAAAAUUCUCAAAGCAGUCCUGCAGUAUGAAAAGACCACAUCAGGGGUAGAGGGUCCCUUACUACAGACUGAUUUUCCUACUGCAGAGACAACACUUGGAGAUGAUGUUCCUUCCAUUAAUGAGGAAGACGUUGUUGCGCCAAAGUCUCCACAAUCUGUAGGAAAUGUACCUUUACCUUCAAGAAAAGAGGAUGCACUUCAAAAAACUGCAGAGAGCGGCAUCCAUACCCCAGACACACAAUCCCUCGAGAGUGACUCUAAAUCUUCAUCUUCAAAUGCAAAUGCUAAGGUAAUUUCAUAACUUUUGCUGUUUUUAAUGCACAACAGAGAAAGAAAACACGGAGUUUAUAUUUUUGUUAAACACUAUCAGGAUGUAAUUAUUAUAUUAAAAAUUUUGUCUUUUUAAAUGUAAUCCAAAGUUUAAAUUUAAAGUUAAAAUCUUUUUGUGAUGAUCUUUAGAGGUAAAAUAAAUAUUUCUUAGUCAUAUUCACUUACUUGUACUAUGGGUUCAUUAGUGAAAUUGUAACAUAAUGAUGCUGUUUCAUAGAGACACUGUAGUGACAAACAUUGAAAGUAUUUAUAUAUUUUUUUGAAAUAUAUAUCUGUAUGUUGCAGAGGAAUGAAUCAGAUGAAUCAGCUAAGGUCAACACAGACAGUAGCAGUUCAGGAGAAAGAUUUUUCACAUCUGGUUUGCCACAGCAGAAAACUUUCUUUUUCAUAAAUGAGAAUGAAUGGAAGGAGUUACGGCAACAUCAGUCAGGAAGACUAUUUAAAGGACUGCAGUGGACAAAUAUAAUUGCCAGUGGAAUCAGAACCCUUAAUCCGUACUGCAGUUUUGGAUUUCGGAGACACAGUGUGAAAAAACUCUCUUCAAGAUCAAAGGCACCGGUUUUCAGGUGUAUGGGGUACUGCAGAUUUCAGGACUGCCCUGUCACUGUGGAUGUGGUGGUUUAUGAUGAAGAGACACUGAAAGCAGAAGUCGUUUUUAAAGGAGGUGAGGUCUGCCAUAAUAACAAAGAGCUGAAAAGGCAGCCUGUGUGUGCACAAUCACGUCAAAGUACUGGAGAACUCCUCAAAAACAAAUUACCAAGGAGCUUGUACUUGGAGUCUUUACAGAAAGUGCCACAAAAGCUGAUCCAACCUGGCAACAGGGAUGAUGCUCCAACAAAAGAAGUCUUGAAAAACAUUGCAUGGUCUGAAAGAAAAGCCAGUAGAGCAGAUCCCAACGAGUUGAUGAGCUUACAAAAGAUAAUUCAACAGUAUCAGGACACUGAAAAGGAUGUACUGCAGAAGAUUCUGAUGCAUCCAAAGGGCAUAAUGCUAUGGUCUAAGAAAACCUUGUCAGUUUUUCAUC
ensembl:lncRNA